UCGUUAACGAACGAGACCUUAACCUGCUAAAUAGCCCGUAUUGCUUUGGCAGUACGCUGGCUUCUUAGAGGGACUAUCGGCUCAAGCCGAUGGAAGUUUGAGGCAAUAACAGGUCUGUGAUGCCCUUAGAUGUUCUGGGCCGCGCGCGCGCUACACUGACAGAGCCAGCGAGUACUCCCUUGGCCGGAAGGCCCGGGUAAUCUUGUGAAUCUCUGUCGUGCUGGGGAUAGAGCAUUGCAAUUAUUGCUCUUCAACGAGGAAUACCUAGUAAGCGUGAGUCAUCAGCUCGCGUUGAUUACGUCCCUGCCCUUUGUACACACCGCCCGUCGCUAGUACCGAUUGAAUGGCUGG
rnacentral:rRNA from 1 species